AUGGAUGAGGCAAUGUUGAAUGUGUUCGUGGAGCAUUACAAUAGACGGGACAGUGCUCAAAAUGGGUGGAAGCCACAUGUUUACACUAUAGUUGUCAAUAAUGUUCGAGCCAAGUGCAAUGUGGAUAUCACAAAGGAGAAUGUCAUAUCAAGCUGCAAGACUAUUGAUAGACACUAUGUCAAUGUCAGCAAGAUGUUGUCAACGAGUGGUUUGGGUGAUUGGACCCAUAACAAGCUUAUGGUUGAUAGUGAGGACCUGUGGAGCAACUAUGUCAAGGCAAAUAAAGAUGCCGCUUGCUACAGGCACAUGGUCAUAAAGUUUUGGGACUCAAUCAGCCUUGUCUUCUCGAAGGAUCAUGCCAUGGGAACCGGAGCCGGAACUGCCGCUGAAAGUUCUGCGGAAAUGGCUGCGGAGAAUGUGAACAAUGUCAACAUCAAGUCUGCCGCGACAUCUUCUACUCAAACCAGUGAGGAACAUAAGAAGAAAAGAUACCGAUCAGAUGACUCAAUUGCAUCUAUGCUUGGUGAAAAACUGGAUAAUUUUACAAGCGCCUACAAAGCUGACAUUGCUCAAGUUGUUCCUCGCGAUAAACCCUCCUCUCCAGAAGAAAUACUUGAUGCUCUCAAUGCAAUUGCUGGACUGGAUGAUGAUUACUUGCUGGAAGCUUAUGAUAUCCUCAUAGCAGAUGACCGCAAGUUCAAGGCUCUUAUGGCGCUGCCUGAAAGGAUGAAGAAGAAAUGGACCCUCAAGCAAAUCAACCAAUGA
rnacentral:rRNA from 1 species